CGGGCCCUUGUAUAAUAUUCAAAACAUUUUUUUUUUAAUGCAGUGCUGUAUGCUAGAGCAUUUUUUUUUUUUUUUUUUUUAAUAUUUUACAGUACUCAGACCAAAAUAUAAAAUGUCACAUUAUCACUGCUUUUUCUUUCUUUCAUUUUUUCUUUUUUUUUUUUUUCUUACCCAUGUCAAGCUAUGAUUUAUCUGUUUUCUGCUAUAUUGACCCUCCAAAAAGAGAUUCUGAUGACACUGCACAUUUAUCCAGCCCCUGAUGGCAACACCUACACAACAGGAACUAUCCUUAAUUGGCUUCAUUCGGGGCGGAACAUCUGCAAAUAGGCUCCUGUUUUAUAACCACAACCACAUCCUUCAUGUCAUACUUUCGUCACAAGCACUCUGACUGUGCAUGUAGAUCAGUAGAAGAUUGGCAUAACGUAAAUGUCAGGGGGAUUUAUGCAAUGUAUAAAUGGUGUUUGAUUGAGAACUGCAGAUUUUUAUAUUUUCACCAACAUUUUAUAUUUUUGUAAACGGGGUCAAUGGGAAUAUUAUCAAGUUUGCAUGUGGGCUCUGUACAAUGCAUUUGAGCAGGCUUGACCACAGUUCCUGUCAUUGUUUCUCCACGAUGGCUCUAUGGCAAGCCAUAUUCUUGCUUGUUGUUUGUGGACUUAUUGAGUGCAAUGACGGCGUUUGCAAUGUGACCUGCACCACAGACUUCAUCUCCAAGCUGAACUGCUCUAAUUCUGACUUGGCAGGAUCAGCUUCAUGUAAUGUUGUGGCAAAUUGCAGGGAUGAAUUUUCUGUUGUGAUUGGGAACUGCAGUAUCAUAUCGCCACAAUCCUGGUGCACAAUGGAACCAGAGGAGCUGGAUAUGAUAAUGUCCUUUGAUACCAACUGUUCCAUCAUAGUAACGCAAAUGGACAAACAAGGCAAUGCGGAGAUCCCGACAAAGAGUUACUCUGAAACAAUCCUUUUAUACAGAUCUAUUAAGCUAAAGCAACCUUUCAACCUAAACAUUGCAAAAAUUGACAGGGGUUUCAAUCUCACUUGGGAUGUGGAUUAUAAAGGGGAAGAUCUGUAUAAAGAUUUAUACUACAAAGUACGAUUACAAAUUAAAAAUGACCUGGAUAAGAAGGAGCAAAUUUACACCCUGCAGCAGAACCGACAAUCCAUGGUUAUCCUCAGUGAAAAUCUUCUGCCAGGGAGGCAGUAUGCAGCAGACAUUCAGGUUGCCGUACAUCCGAAGGUGUUUGAAUCCAUGUGGAGUGAAUGGAGCAACAGCGUUGAAUGGACAUCUGACUCUUCAGAGACAGAGCAGUACUAUUUCCUGCUGCUGGCACUUCCUGUUGUGGCAGUGGUGCUACUUGUGUACAGUGGGAAACUAGGGAGCAUCAAAAAGCCGACUUUAUGGCAGCACAUCCCAAGCCCCCAUGAGUACUUCACACCGCUCUACCAUACAUAUCAAGGAGACUUUAAGAGAUGGGUCGGACCAGUCCUGACCUUCAAUAACUUCGAUUUCCAAGAGAAGAGCACCACUUUACAGGUGCUUUGUGAGAAGCAGCAGAAUGAAAGCUCUGAGGAACCUGGCAACGGUAGGAGCGGUGAACGGGACUUUGGUCUGUCGGGUCAAAACUCAUCAAAACUCUACUUCCUUGGAAGCAACAGUCACAGUGUCGCACACUCCGGUGGCCACAUAUCGAUGGACACCGUUACAGUUUCUGGGCAGGAGGGCAUCAUGGCCGACUGGUCCGGUGACAAUCAUAGACGGAGCCUAGAGGACUUCCUCAAUGACAAAGACGGCAAUCAGAGAGUGGCUGAGAUCGCAGACAGACAGCCUCUUGUACCUGAAGGCAGCGGCAGUUUACGGGGUUUAGACUGCGAUGACUGGCAUCUACAGGAGCACGACCUGGAGAACAUUGAACAGGUCUCGCUGGACUCUUACAAUUCCAACGAGCAGUCCGAUGAUGGUUACCCACAAAUGGGAUUGGAUUUAGACACCAUAGACAGUGGAUUUCUGGAGUCAGACUGUUCAAGCCCGUCGGCUUUUGAUGGGACCGAGCAGAUAGAGACUGAAUCGCUGGAUGGCGUGGGAGGCUCCCAUUCGAAUUAUGUCAAACAGUGGGUGGCUUUUACAGCAGUUCAAGUUGAUACCCACAGCACUGGAAAGUAGCUGAUCAUGGGAGUUUCUAUUACUACAUUGAACUGAAUAAUAAACAGUUGAUGGUGGAAGCGUCUACAUAAUAUCUGAAGACAUCACUGUUUGGACCUAAUUUGCUCACAAUGCGUUUAUGUGAGCAGUUUCUUCUUACACUGAACUGUAUUUGUGGCAUAAUGCCACAAAAUAGACUAAAUGUUAGUCAGUUGUAUGAUUGUUCACAGGACAUUGGUUUACAUUAGGCUGCAGGACAGUAUGUAUGGAUGCAUCUCAAUCUGCAUACUUUCAAUCCUGUGGGUCAGAGUUUGCGCAACUAACAAUCAAUAUCCAUCACUCUAAUUGUAAAUUUUCUGUCAUGCUCUAUUUUUAUCUCAGUAAAAUAUUGUAAUGCUUGGCAUUUUUAAUGCGACAUUGAUAUCACAAGAACUUCUGUGGCAAUGAUAAUGGACAGAAUCCCAUUAAUUAUUCCACUGAGCUUUACUUGGAAUUUCUUGGUUUUUCUCUUUAACUUGUCCCUCUCCUGGUCAGUUUUGCACUUUAAAACUUUAGUAAAAAAGAGUAAAAAAAAAAAUGUUGUAAUUGAAAGUCACAAUUACGAAAUGACAAGAAAUAACGUUCCAGAGUAAAACUAAAUAAAUAAACAGGCAAUUGUGACUUUAUUUGUUGCAAAUAAUCUGCCACGAAUAAAGUUCCAAUUGUCUUUUUUUAUUUACGGUAUAUGAAGUCUAUACUUUACAGAAUUCUAUAAUUAACAUCUCUUUUUCUGGGAAUGUUGUUAAAACAACCUAUAGAAUGCAAGAGUACAAUUAGUGUUUCAAAUCAGCUUGUUGAAAAUAUUAUGCCAAAAACGCCUGGGUGGUUUACUAUCCCAGCUAACAAAAAUAUGUUCCAAGAACAUUUUGCUAACAUUCCCAUUAAGUUAUGAAAACAUCCCUUUUUUUUUUUUUUUUUUUUUUUUCUCGGUUCUCUGACUGUUCAAAAUGACUCAAAUGUUAAAGAAAGAAACAUUUCAUCAUUCUUAAAACAUUAUGUGAAAGUUACUAUUAAAUAUUCUUUGAACAUUCUAAAACAAGUAGUAGCAUUUAAAAAUAUGUUAGAUGAACGUCCAACUAAGACAUUUCAGGAAAAAAGAGUUAUAUGAACAAUGUAUAAAUAAUGAUUUUGUGCUAACAUUUUGAGAACAUUAUUAAAGAGCAGAUAACUUCGAACGGACGUUCUAUUAAUGUUACUGGAAGAGAGUUUGCUCAUAACUUUGAGGGAACCCUGAUAAAACAUUAGCUAAUGUUCUGGGAACAUUCCCUGUUCGCUGGGAUGUCAGGUGAUGUGUCCAAAAACCAUUAAUCUUUUUGAGCUGACAGGGUAUGCAAAUAUUCAAGUUAAAAGUUUAAAAACUGAUCAACCAGUAUUCUUAAUAUUUGGGGGACAUGUAAAUAUAUUUGAAUCUAAGAAGAGUAAUGAACAUGCUAAUGUUCACAUGUUAACAUCAACAGUAGGCUACAUGACAGUGGACUGUGGUGAUUUUAUAAUGUCAAUUUUAUACCUCUCAAUACUGACACAGCAUCUAACUACAUACUCUGCGUCAAGUACAUUUAGCGUGUAUAAUAGAAGUACUAAGGGAAGUGAGGUGCGACCAAUGUCUAGGUACUGGUUAUCUGUUGAGGUAAUACUGAGAAAUUAUGCACUUUGCAACUUUUUUUCAUUAGAAAUAUGUGAGCUGUGCAGUUCUUCAGUUAUUGCACACAAUGUUGGAGUUAUCAGUGUUUGCUGCACAGAGCAAGAUAAGGCAUGAGUCACGGACGGAUCUACAAAAUGCCAGACAGCUGAUAAUACUAUGGGUAUUUCUACAUAUCAGAUCUUUUGAACAAACGAUUAGCUCAGCAGUCAGAAUCUCUUAGUUUUUUUUGUAAAGUGCUUUUUGACCCUUUUAUUUUUUUAUUAAUGCUAGACACAUCUCUUGAUUUUCAUGAAAUGAUUAAAUGCACUUUAUUUUCAUGAUCAUGUUAUUUAUUUCACAUAAUGGAGUAGACACUUUGAUGGCUGGAGGUGAUAGACUUAAUUUGCAACUAGAAUGGAAGGUUUAAAAGCAAACUUUAUGGUCCUUUGGCCUUGACAAACAACAUGACUUAAGGCCUGUUCACACCAAGGACUAUAACGAUAACAUUAAAGAUAUAGUUCUAAAAUCGUUCUAAAUAUAAAAUAAUAGCAGUCACACCACAACUAUAAUGAUAAAGGCCGUUAACACCAAGAAUGAAAACUUUAAAUAUAACGUUAGUGAUAACUAUAUUAGCGGAUGAGAGCGCUGCUGUUUUGUCUUCUGUCGCUUUAAAUGCUCAAACUCGUUAAAGCAGAAUGGAUUCUGAUUGGCUGUCAAUGUUUAUAACGUUCAUCAGCUCAGCUGGGGGAAAAAUCGUUCUGGGGGGCGUUUCCCGUACAACUACGUAACUCGCUGUUACGAGUUUACACAACAAAGUUGUGGAAAAAAAAAUAGCUAGUCACGACUGUUGCACAAAACCGUAUCGUUGCAAACCUGUCGGUGGAGUAGUAACUUCUUUAAAUGAAUCCGUUUGAGAUCAAAUUAUUGCUAUAUUUUUUGCUAUAAAUUAUGGACAUGGCAUGUGAGCACUAAUUCUUAUUUUUCUCAGUUAUUUUUCUUUAUUUCCAGAUUCAGUCUCGUUCUUAUCAGAGCACUAUAGGCACUCUUAAAAAGCGGUGCUUAAAAUGCUUUUGACAAACUAAAAUAUGUAAAUGACAUUUGUAUAUAUUCGAAAUAAAAGAUAUACAUUGUACUUAAUGUCAGUUUGCUUAUUUUGCUCAAGAUAACGAUUUAUUAAGUUCACAUGUCAUAAAAACAAGAAACUAUUCUUCCAACCACACAAGUUUGCGAUGCAGUUUGCAAACUAUGGUUUCGGGAAACACCAAAUCGUUGAACUAUGUUAGUAACGACGGAACUUGCGAUGCUAGUUAGCUAACAAUGCUUUUGGGAAACGCACCCCUGAAAGUGAUUCCAAGGUAUUCACUGUAUCAUUAUCGUUAUAGUUGUGGUGUGGAGUAGGUAUCUUUACAGUUAUCGUUCUUGGUGUGAACAGGCCUUUGGCCUUAUUAUUUUACAAUGAACCUAUUUUAAAAGCGAUAUAGCCAAGUAUUAACAAGUAAGUACACCUUAUGUAAGACACAGAAACUUGUAUAGCAACAUUUGUGGCCUUAUUUUCCGAAUUGUACACGCAGGAGCACUUUAAAAGUUCUCUGCAACAUCUGAAACUGGAAGAUCAAAAGGCACAGUGACAUACAGUAAGAAGCCACAAAUAAAAGUUCAUAUUUGUACCGUUUCAUCUUUAAAGUGACUACGCUAAAUGUCAGCUGCCGUCAUUUAUAGAAUCAGUCAUACAUGGGAAAGUCACAUCAACAUUUUUCUGGCUGGAAAUGUAUAGGCCUAUUAUUAAUUCUGUAAUGUAGUAUAAGUUAAAAGACGAUAAAGAAUUAUUUUAGGGCUAUUCAAAAUGCAUUCAGAUCCUCCCUUUGGUUUAACACUUGUAAACUUUCUAUGUACUUACUGUAUAUCAUAAUGUGAGGAAACUUUUUCUUCGCUACAUUGUUACAUUAUGUUGUUUACAUUGUUGUAUAUACUCUUAAGAAGGUAUGUUCACCUGGACAGUUUAAUUUAAUGUGAGAAUUUAACUGACGUGAUUUCAUAUGUGAAGUUUGGCAUGUGAAAUGAGAACCUUGUGAUGCCAUCUUAAACGACUAAUCAGAGAUUUCAGAUAACUUUGAGGUUAAGACCUCCUACAUAAACAGGAACUACUCUGUAUAUAAAACCAUCUUGAUGCCCUUCACUGCUACAGACGUCAACUAAUAUUUCUCUAAUGCUUCAGAAUAAAUUUGGGUCUUUUGAGUUGCAUGUGCUGAAUUAUGCGUUGAAAUCUGGAAGUGUGUGUACAUACAGUCCUGUACAAGAAUGAUGAACCGCAUUGGAAUGAUCUGCAUUUUCUUGGCUUUUUCAGUGGAACUUAACGCCAGUUCACAGGCUCUGAAAGAAGGGCUCAGCUGUGUGACAGAUUACUGUAAAUCUGUCAGCUGCUCUUUAAAGCUACCAGACACAUCCACUAGAAACAUAUCACACUGGCUGGAAUUUCAAUGGAACAAUCACAUUACAGAUUAUGAUGACUUCAAACACGGGCCGUAUAGAUGCCCACUCCAGAGAGCACGCGAAGAUCACACCUGCACUUUCACUGUAAAUGGAACAAUGACUGAUCUUGAUAAAGUUGCUGUGAAACUUCAUUAUUUGGAAAACGGCAAUAAGAAUUCAUUUCUGUUGAAUGAUGGUUGGAAGCCAACAGAAAACAUUAAACCAAAAGCCCCACUUAAUCUGACAUUACAAUAUACAAAUGGGACGUAUCAUUUCUCUUGGACUAAUGGAUAUGAAGAUGAACGCUAUGGACCUUAUCUACCCUUCACGUACACAUUCCUGUACUACAAAGAUGGAGAUAAUAACAGCGAGGUCAGUGUUCAUCCAGAAAAUAAAAUGAUUCAGAUUGAUGAAAUGAAUCUUGAUCCGGGUACUACAUACACUGCUAUGGUGAGGUCUGGGAUACGUGAACAUCGGACAUACAGAGGAACGUGGAGCGAGUGGAGCAGCGCAGUAAAAUGGAAAACAACAUACAGAGAUAAAUACCGUGGUACCCCAGGGCUCAGCUGUGUGACAGAUUACUGUAAAUCUGUCAGCUGCUCUUUAAAGCUACCAGACACAUCCACUAGAAACAUAUCACACUGGCUGGAAUUUCAAUGGAACAAUCACAUUACAGAUUAUGAUGACUUCAAACACGGGCCGUAUAGAUGCCCACUCCAGAGAGCACGCGAAGAUCACACCUGCACUUUCACUGUAAAUGGAACAAUGACUGAUCUUGAUAAAGUUGCUGUGAAACUUCAUUAUUUGGAAAACGGCAAUAAGAAUUCAUUUCUGUUGAAUGAUGGUUGGAAGCCAACAGAAAACAUUAAGCCAAAAGCCCCACUUAAUCUGACAUUACAAUAUACAAAUGGGACGUAUCAUUUCUCUUGGACUAAUGGAUAUGAAGAUGAACGCUAUGGACCUUAUCUACCCUUCAUGUACAAAUUCCUGUACUACAAAGAUGGAGAUAAUGACAGCGAGGACAGUGUUCAUCCAGACAAAACGAUUCAGAUUGAUGAAAAGGAGCUUGAUCCGGGCACUACAUACACUGCUAUGGUGAGGUCUGGGAUACGUGAACAUCGGACAUACAGAGGAACGUGGAGCGAGUGGAGCAGCGCAGUAAAAUGGAAAACAACAUACAGAGAUAAAUACCGUGGUACCCCAGAAGGGCUCAGCUGUGUGACAGAUUACUGCAAAUCUGUCAGCUGCUCUUUAAAGCUACCAGACACAUCCACUAGAAACAUAUCACACUGGCUGGAAUUUCAAUGGAACAAUCACAUUACAGAUUAUGAUGACUUCAAACACGGGCCGUAUAGAUGCCCACUCCAGAGAGCACGCGAAGAUCACACCUGCACUUUCACUGUAAAUGGAACAAUGACUGAUCUUGAUAAUGCUACUGUGAAACUUCAUUAUUUGGAAAACGGCAAUAAGAAUUCGUCUCUGUUGAAUGAUGGUUGGAAGCCAGCAGAAAACAUUAAACCAAAAGCCCCACUUAAUCUGACAUUACAAUAUACAAAUGGGACGUAUCAUUUCUCUUGGACUAAUGGAUAUGAAGAUGAACGCUAUGGACCUUAUCUACCCUUCAUGUACAAAUUCCUGUACUACAAAGAUGGAGAUAAUAACAGCGAGGACAGUGUUCAUCCAGACAAUAAAACGAUUCAGAUUGAUGAAAAGGAGCUUGAUCCGGGCACUACAUACACUGCUAUGGUGAGGUCUGGGAUACGUGAACAUCGGACAUACAGAGGAACGUGGAGCGAGUGGAGCAGCGCAGUAAAAUGGAAAACAACAUACAGAGAUAAAUACCGUGGUAUCCCAGGGCUCAGCUGUGUGACAGAUUACUGUAAAUCUGUCAGCUGCUCUUUAAAGCUACCAGACACAUCCACUAGAAACAUAUCACACUGGCUGGAAUUUCAAUGGAACAAUCACAUUACAGAUUAUGAUGACUUAAAACACGGGCCGUAUAGAUGCCCACUCCAGAGAGCACGCGAAGAUCACACCUGCACUUUCACUGUAAAUGGAAUAAUAACUGAUCUUGAUAAAGUUGCUGUGAAACUUCAUUAUUUGGAAAACGGCACUAAGAAUUCAUUUCUGUUGAAUGAUGGUUGGAAGCCAGCAGAAAACAUUAAACCAAAAGCCCCACUUAAUCUGAUAUUACAAUAUACAAAUGGGACGUAUCAUUUCUCUUGGACUAAUGGAUAUGAAGAUGAACGCUAUGGACCUUAUCUACCCUUCACGUACACAUUCCUGUACUACAAAGAUGGAGAUAAUAACAGCGAGGACAGUGUUCAUCCAGAAAAUAAAAUGAUUCAGAUUGAUGAAAUGAAUCUUGAUCCGGGCACUACAUACACUGCUAUGGUGAGGUCUGGGAUACGUGAACAUCGGACAUACAAAGGAACGUGGAGCGAGUGGAGCGGCGCAGUAAAAUGGAAAACAACAUACAGAGAUAAAUACCGUGGUACCCCAGAAGAUGAGCCCAAUCAAGUUGGCAAGAUUGUCAUUGUAAUGUUGGUUGGACUUUUAAUUCUGCUCAUAUUUGUUCCUGCUGCAAGAUUUAAGAUGAAAGAAAUUUCAUGGGUGCCGACACCAGCAACAUAUUUCCAGCCCCUUUAUCAAAAUUACCAGGGCAAUUUUCAGUGUUGGGUUUUGGCAAAAAGUCCUUUACAAGACUUUCAUGUUUUGGAAGACUUUUCAACAAUCGACAAGAUUUCCGAGGUCAUGAUGACUACACUACAGGAUGAGGAAGAGAAAACGGGCAUGUAUCCCGCUGCACAAUGCCAUCAACCCUAUGUGGGCCCCACAGCUGAGGUCUGGGUCCCACGCCAAAUGCCCGAUACGUGCAGUGAGACGAGUAUCCCGUGUGAGGAAUUUUCUUUGCUCUGUGAAGAGUUGCCAGAUAAAGUGCAUGACAUCAUGCAGUCUCUCGGUGUGGCGUGUCUGAGUGGGGAUGUUCUGUCUCUGAAGGACUCUGCUCUUAGUCUUGAGAGUCUUGAGGACUGUGAGGAAUCUGAAGCACCAGUUAUCAUUAACCCAGUGCCUGUGUGUUCCAAACAAGACUACUGCACUCUUACCAACACUCCCACAGGCCCUGUCUUCACCUUCACCAGAGAUAUAGAGCUGGACGAAAACACCUUUAGUGAUUAAAUGCAUGAAGACACCUGCAGUAGACACGUGGACAUUAUGAACUGACAUAAAUCAUUUAUUCACAUUUUGAUUGUGUAAAAUGUAUGUUGUAGAACAAAAUGUGAAGGUCUUUUCAAAUAAUGUUAACAAGGAAUUCUUAUUCUUCACUGAAACAAGUUGUCUAGGCUACAAGGUGUUAAAAUAGCCAUUAUACUCCCUCCACUAAUGCUGACAGUUCAAAUGAGGUUUGACGAUUCGUGUGCAGCGAUUUGAUUCUGUUUUUCAUCAAGUAAUAUCAUUAUAUUUCUAUUUGUGAUAUUUGUACCUAGAAGAAAAUUAAAAUAGUGUGUAUUUUAUGUGGAAAAACUUAGAACCUAGAAGAAUAGCAGAUGUUAUUUAGCAGUUUACACAGGAAUCCAGUCUAAUUCAAGAAAAAAAAAAAGAAAAGAAAAAAAAAAAACUGUUUUAUUUCAAUUGUAUGUAAAUAGACACCUGUUUUUACAUUUUGCAUAUCAAAGAAUCACAAUAUGUAAAGAGUGUGAAUGAAUUUUGUAUGAUUUAUCAUUGAAUCUGCAUUAUGAAUUCAGAAUCAGAAAGAGCUUUAUUGCCAGGUAUUUUUACACAGACGAGGAAUUUGUUUUGGUGAAAGAAGCUUCACAGAAUGACAGUGACAAGACACAAAUAAUAAAAAGAAUAAAAUAAGUACAGAGGAAAUAACAAUAUACACACAAAAAAAAAAAAAAGCAAUAUACAAAACAAUAGAUGGUACAUAUACAGGUAUGUACAAAUGCAAGGAAAUGUAAAUAAGAAGUGUGGUGUGUUAAAUAAAUGUAUAAAUAGUGUUGUGUAUUGCA